rnacentral:misc_RNA from 1 species
GAUGAAGAACGCAGCGAAAUGCGAUAAGUAAUGUGAAUUGCAGAAUUCAGUGAAUCAUCGAGUCUUUGAACGCACAUUGCGCCCCCUGGUAUUCCGGGGGGCAUGCCUGUCCGAGCGUCAUUGCUGCCCUCAAGCACGGCUUGUGUGUUGGGCCCCGCCCCCCGGCUCCCGGGGGGCGGGCCCGAAAGGCAGCGGCGGCACCGCGUCCGGUCCUCGGGCGUAUGGGGCUUCGUCACCCGCUCCGUAGGCCCGGCCGGCGCCCGCCGGCGACCCCCCUCAAUCUUUUCAGGUUGACCUCGGAUCAGGUAGGGAUACCCGCUGAACUUAAGCAUAUCAAUAAGCGGAGGA